rnacentral:rRNA from 1 species
GACGAACGCUGGCGGCGUGCUUAACACAUGCAAGUCGAACGAAGAGCGAUGGAAGCUUGCUUCUAUCAAUCUUAGUGGCGAACGGGUGAGUAACGCGUAAUCAACCUGCCCUUCAGAGGGGGACAACAGUUGGAAACGACUGCUAAUACCGCAUACGAUCUAAUCUCGGCAUCGAGGAAAGAUGAAAGGUGGCCUCUAUUUAUAAGCUAUCACUGAAGGAGGGGAUUGCGUCUGAUUAGCUAGUUGGAGGGGUAACGGCCCACCAAGGCGAUGAUCAGUAGCCGGUCUGAGAGGAUGAACGGCCACAUUGGGACUGAGACACGGCCCAGACUCCUACGGGAGGCAGCAGUGGGGAAUCUUCCGCAAUGGACGAAAGUCUGACGGAGCAACGCCGCGUGAGUGCUGACGGCCUUCGGGUUGUAAAGCUCUGUUAAUCGGGACGAAAGGCCUUCUUGCGAACAGUUAGAAGGAUUGACGGUACCGGAAUAGAAAGCCACGGCUAACUACGUG